GACGAACGCUGGCGGCGUGCCUAAUACAUGCAAGUAGGACGAAGUUGCGAACGGGUGAGUAACGCGUAGGUAACUACCUAUUAGAGGGGGAUAACUAUUGGAAACGAUAGCUAAUACCGCAUACUAGUAGAUGGAACUGCGUUGUAUUAGCUAGUAGGUAGGGUAAUGGCCUACCUAGGCAACAAUACAUAGCCGACCUGAGAAGGUGAUCAGCCACACUGUGACUUAGACCCGGCCCAGAAUCCUGCGGGAGGGAUCUGAAGGGAAUCUGCCGCAAUGGGGGGAACCCUGACCGAGCAACGCCGCGUGAGUGAAGAAGGUUUUCGGAUCGUAAAGCUCUGUUGUUAAGGAAGCGGUACUUAACCAGAAAGGGACGGCUAACUACGUGCCAGCAGCCGCGGUAAUUC
rnacentral:rRNA from 1 species